UCACCCAAGGGUCCUUUGCACCACGACCUUGAGCCAAAACCACCACCCAAAAGCUUUUUUUACCUGGGUCUAACAUUGGGCGAGUUAGCGUAGAGUAGUUUUA